AUUGAACGCUGGCGGCAGGCCUAACACAUGCAAGUCGAACGGUAACAGGAAGAAGCUUGCUUCUUUGCUGACGAGUGGCGGACGGGUGAGUAAUGUCUGGGAAACUGCCUGAUGGAGGGGGAUAACUACUGGAAACGGUAGCUAAUACCGCAUAAUGUCGCAAGACCAAAGAGGGGGACCUUCGGGCCUCUUGCCAUCGGAUGUGCCCAGAUGGGAUUAGCUAGUAGGUGGGGUAACGGCUCACCUAGGCGACGAUCCCUAGCUGGUCUUAGAGGAUGACCAGCCACACUGGAACUGAGACACGGUCCAGACUCCUACGGGAGGCAGCAGUGGGGAAUAUUGCACAAUGGGCGCAAGCCUGAUGCAGCUAUGCCGCGUGUAUGAAGAAGGCCUUCGGGUUGUAAAGUACUUUCAGCGGGGAGGAAGGGAGUAAAGUUAAUACCUUUGCUCAUUGACGUUACCCGCAGAAGAAGCACCGGCUAACUCCGUG
rnacentral:rRNA from 1 species